CCUGGCUCAGGACGAACGCUGGCGGCGUGCCUAACACAUGCAAGUCGAACGGGGGUAGCAAUACCCCAGUGGCGAACGGGUGCGUAACACGUGAGGAACUUGUCCAUCGGCGGGGGAUAGCCGGCCCAACGGCCGGGUAAUACCGCGUACGUCGGCGAGACCGCAUGGUCUUGCCGGGAAAGCAGCAAUGCACCGAUGGAGAGCCUCGCGGCCUAUCAGCUAGUUGGUGAGGUAACGGCUCACCAAGGCGACGACGGGUAGCUGGUCUGAGAGGAUGAUCAGCCACAUUGGGACUGAGACACGGCCCAGACUCCUACGGGAGGCAGCAGUGGGGAAUAUUGCGCAAUGGGCGAAAGCCUGACGCAGCGACGCCGCGUGUGGGAUGACGGCCUUCGGGUUGUAAACCACUGUCGCGAGGGACGAAGAUCUGACGGUACCUCGAAAGGAAGCACCGGCUAACUCUGUGCCAGCAGCCGCGGUAAUACAGAGGGUGCAAGCGUUGUCCGGAAUUACUGGGCGUAAAGGGGCGCGUAGGCGGUUCGAUAAGUAGGGGGUGAAAUCUCACGGCUCAACCGGGAGGCUGCCUUCUAGACU
rnacentral:rRNA from 1 species